GACGAACGCUGGCGGUGUGCUUAACACAUGCAAGUCGAACGGUAAGGCCCUUUCGGGGGUACACGAGUGGCGAACGGGUGAGUAACACGUGAGUAACCUGCCCUCAUCUCUGGGAUAACAGUCGGAAACGGUUGCUAAUACUGGAUAUGAGCUUGCAAGGCAUCUUGUGGGUUGGAAAGAUAUUUUUUGGUUGGGGAUGGACUCGCGGCCUAUCAACUUGUUGGUGAGGUAGUGGCUCACCAAGGCUUCGACGGGUAGCCGGCCUGAGAGGGCGACCGGCCACAUUGGGACUGAGAUACGGCCCAGACUCCUACGGGAGGCAGCAGUGGGGAAUAUCGCACAAUGGACGGAAGUCUGAUGCAGCAACGCCGCGUGCGGGAUGACGGCCUUCG
rnacentral:rRNA from 2 species